rnacentral:rRNA from 1 species
GGAGGGUGCAAGCGUUAUCCGGAUUCACUGGGUUUAAAGGGUGCGUAGGCGGAUUGGUAAGUCCGUGGUGAAAUCUCCAAGCUUAACUUGGAAACUGCCAUGGAUACUAUUGAUCUUGAAUGUUGUGGAGGUUAGCGGAAUAUGUCAUGUAGCGGUGAAAUGCAUAGAUAUGACAUAGAACACCAAUUGCGAAGGCAGCUGGCUACACAAAUAUUGACGCUGAGGCACGAAAGCGUGGGGAUCAAACAGGAUUAGAUACCCUGGUAGUCCACGCCCUAAACGAUGAUUACUCGACAUUUGCGAUACACAGCAAGUGUCUGAGCGAAAGCAUUAAGUAAUCCACCUGGAAGUACGACCGCAAGGUUG